GCCUACGGGGGGCAGCAGCGAGGAAUAUUGGUCAAUGGCCGGAAGGCUGAACCAGCCAAGCCGCGUGAAGGACGAAGGUGCCAAGCAUUGUAAACUUCUUUUGUCAAGGGACAAAAUCAGGCUCGAGAGCCUGACCGAGGGUACUUGAAGAAAAAGCAUCGGCUAACUCCGUGCCAGCAGCCGCGGUAAUACGGAGGAUGCGAGCGUUGUCCGGAAUUACUGGGUGUAAAGGGAGCGUAGGCGGGACGGCAAGUCAGAUGUGAAAACUGAGGGCUCAACCUUCAAACUGCAUUUGAA
rnacentral:rRNA from 1 species